CAGACCCCCAGUCUGAAAUGAAAUGACAGUAGAUAGUAACUUAAAGCUAUUUGAAGAAAUAAAGAACUCUGGUACAGUGAACCACAAAACAUCUAUUUUCCCUUUGUGAAAUCUUCAAGCUGUGUUCCAGCAAACUUGAUCCGCUUGAGUGAAAAUUGGUUAAUUUAAGGAUACUACAGACCAUGGACUUGCUGAUUUUGCUGAUUCUGUAACCUCAUGAAUACCGUCUAUUCCCCACAAGUCCUGAUACUAUGCUCUCCUUCUGUCUGGCAACAAUAAAGGGC